rnacentral:lncRNA from 1 species
AUAAGAUUAUAUUGAAACCUAGGGUAAAAACAGCAAUUAUCACGUCACACAAUCCUAGGACGUAAAUAUAAUAAAAGUAAUUUAGAGGUUAUAACAAAACAGAAUAAACUGUUUUGUUUAUAAUCAAUAAGGUCCUAAUUGUAAAUCACCAAUAAGGACCUAAAACGAAGGAAUAUUCAUUCAUAAACGUUUUACUAAUUUUGCAUCAAGUUUUACUAUGCAAACAAUUUGACCGUGACUCAUGAAAAAAUAUCAAAUAAUCAAGAGGGUCAAAGUGCAAUAGUUUCAAGAAAGUCCUGAUGGGCCAAUUAACAUACAGACCGGACAUAGAUAGUUUGGUUGAAGUUAGUUAUAAUGUUGUUAAUAUUUUUUGUAAUAAAUAAAACGUGUAGUUAACACUUUUAAUCAUUCAAUUUAGCCUUGGUUAAUACAUUCAAAAUUAACUAAAAUCAUUUCUGACUAAACCACUCGAUUAUCCUUUUUUUCACUUAGUGGUAGUUAUUUCCGUUAAUCCGCGAUUACAGCGUGGGUGGAAAACCCUAGCCACGAUUCCAUUGCUAGGCGUUCUCUUCCAUUGCUUCCGACGAGUCUCCAGCAACAGAUUUUAUCAUGGUAUCAGCCAAAACUCCUGUCAACCAGUUGGAUCAGCGACCGGCCACUUCCGCAAUUCCUCCGGCCAACAAACCGGCCGUCUCUGUUGCAAAACCGUUGAAUCCCAUUCAGACACCAUCAGCUUCGCAAGAAUCCUCAUCUGGGUCAACGGGAAAAUCGCGAGCAAUCUCUGAUCAAGAAAAUCUGGAAGGUCUGUACAAAAGUUCUUCUUUUAAAAGGCAUAGGGCUGAAAGGUAUAUCUCUCCUUUACAAGACCCUGAGUCUCCGUUUUUUUUGACCUCCGGUGAUCACCCGAGAGCUAUAUUAGUUCCUGAUAGGCUAGUUGGUGAAUCCAACUACAUAACUUGGUCCAAUGGGAUGAAAGUCUCAUUGGUUUCAAGGAGAAAAGAUGCGUUCGUUACUGGACAGAUAGUAAUGCCCACUGAUUUUGGUAGCCGAGAAUAUAACAUUUGGAAAAUAGUAAAUGGUUUAGUACUUGGAUUUUAAAUUCAGUUUCCCCACAAAUCCAAUCAACACUAAUGUAUACAAGUGAUGCAUAUCAAGUGUGGUUGGAUUUAGAGUGUUGGUAUAAGCAAGGCAAUGCCUCCAAAGUAAACCAAAUUAAAUAUGAGUUGUGCUGCCUACAACAAGGAUCCAUGCCAGCAUCUGAAUUCUACGAUAAAUUCAGAUCAAUCUGGGAUCAGUUAGUUCAGAUAAAUGAAAAUAAAGAAAAAUUUUACAGGGAUUGUAAAAAACUCUAUCAACAAAAAGAAGAAAACGAUAUGAUCCAUCAAUUUCUCUUGGGAUUGAAUGAGAAUUUCUUCAACCUUAGAACCCAAAUCUUAUCAUUGGAAAUUUUACCUGAUAUGAAUAAAAUACUUGGGUUAGUAUUACAAGAGGAAAAGCAAAGGGUAAAAUUCAGAGAUCAUAGUAAUGAGAAAAUAGAGUAAGCAUUCCAUGCUAAAGAGAAAAACCCAACAGAUGGAACAAAAGUCUUAUUUUCAAAAAAUGGCAAAAAGCUAGAUACUAGGUUUUUUUGUGAUAAUUGCAAAUACUAUGGCCAUACAAGGGACAAAUGCUAUCAUCUAGUUGAAAGGCCCAAAGAUAAGCUUCCAAAGAAAUUUCAAGGAAGAAAAAUCAGGGCACAAGCACACCAAAUUCUGAAAAUGCAAACCAAGUAACUGCCACCACUAGCCAACAGUUAGCUUUAACUCAGGAAGAAAUUCAGCUAUUCAAGGAGCUCAUCUCCUCAACAAAAUCGCGAAAUUUGAAUAAAAAUUUUAGUUGUGAUAAACAAAAAUCUUUUUUGAAUGAAAUAAAUUCAGUACAAUAUGAUUGCAAUAUCUGCCCAUUAGCAAAACAAGCAAAACUAAAGUUUGCAAUUAGUUUCUCAAAAUCAAAAGAAAUAUUUGACCUAAUACAUGUGGAUAUUUGGGGAAAAUUCCCAAUCCCAUCCCAUGAUGGUUUCAAUUAUUUUUUAACAAUUGUAGAAGAUCUAAGUAGAGGAACAUGAAUCUAUCUAAUCAAAAAUAAAUCAAUGGCAAUAACAUGUAUUGAAAAUUUCUAUAAGAUGGUCAAAACCCAAUUCAAUACCAAAAUUAUAACCAUCAGAAGUGACAAUGGAGGGGAAUUCACCUCCAACAAUUUCAGAAAAGUGAUUGAAAAACAUGGCAUAAUCCAACAGUUCUCUUGCCCAUAUACUCCUGCACAAAAUGCAAGAGUAGAAAGAAAAUAUAUGCAUCUACUAAACAUAGCAAGAGCAUUACACUUUCAAGGAAACAUCCCAUUGAAAUAUUGGGGAGAGUGUAUUUUAACUGUAGUCUACCUGAUAAAUAGGAUCCCUUCAAAAGUAAUUGAAAACAACACACCUUAUGAAAUAAUCCAUAAGAAAAUUCCUGAUUUUGAAAAUUUAAAAUCCUUUGGUUGCUUAUGCUAUGUUUUAACAACACAAAUGGAAAAUAAAUUUUCACCAAAAGCUUUUCAAGGUAUCUUCAUGGGAUAUCCCAAAGGAGUUAAAGGGUAUCUCAUCCUAAGGAUUUCAGAUAAAAAGUUGUUUAUUUCCAGGAAUGUUUCUUUUAGAGAAUCAAUAUUCCCAUUUAAAGAUAAUAUUGAUUUAGAAAACAAUAAAGAAUCAAAUUAUCUUCAAAAAAAUUUAUAAUAAUGUUUUCACAUAUCAUGAUGAUUCUAAUAAAUCUUGGUAUGACUACAACACAGCUAUCAAGAAAAUAAAACUAAAAUUUCUGAUCUUAAUAAACACAUAAGGUCAAAAAUAUACCCUGCAAUCUGAAAAAUAACUCAGAUAUAAGACAAGGAACUGAUCAAAGAAUUCAGAUAUAAUCUGAAUCAAAAAAUAGCAAAAUAAACUCUGAUCUCAGCAAAACCAUAAGAUCAGAAAAUAACAUACAAAAACAGAUCUUAACAGAACAGCAAGAUCAGAAAAUAACAUUAAAAGAUCUGAUCUUAACAUAACAAUAAGAUCAGAAGAUAUACCCUGCAGUCAAAGAACAAAUUCAGACAUAAGAUCAUAGAUUAAUCAAAGAAUUCAGAUACAAUCAGAAUCAAGUAAAUCAGCAAAUUGCAUGAAUAACAAUACUGAAAAUAUCAGUAUUACUGAAAACUCAAAUAAAAAUGACAGUAGUUCCAAAAACAUUGAAAAUGAGUAUGAUUCUAAAAAUAUUCAGAAUAAUAGUGAAAUAAACACAAUAAAUAUAGAAAAUUCAGUAGAACAGCAAGUCAUUACUCCUGAUACUACAGGAGAACAAAUUGAACAGCAACAAGCUGCCCCAUGUGAAUUUUCAGAAAAAUUAGUAGUAGUUAAAAAAACUACAAGAGCAGGGAGAGUAAUACAUAUCCCAAAAGCUUACAAAGAUUUUUUUCUUGAAAAUGAUAAUAAGUAUAGGGAUAAUGAUAAAAAAGGGAAAUACCCGAUAUGCAACCAAGUGUCAUAUCAUAAAAUUAAAAAAAAUCACAAAAAUCUAUUACAUCAAAUCUCAAUAAAUGAUGAGCCAAGAUCUUUUUCAGAAGCUUCAAAAAACUCAAAAUGGGUGGAAGCAAUGAAAAAAGAGAUGAAGGCACUUCUUUCAAACAAUACUUGGACAUUAACAAUGCUUCCUCAAGAUAGGAAGCUUGUAGGCUCCAAGUGGAUCUAUAAGAUCAAAUAUAGACCAAAUGGUGAAAUAGAGAGAUACAAAACUAGACUUGUAGCAAAAGGGUUCACCCAAAAAGAAGGUUUCGAUUAUUAUAAAACCUUUGCCCCUGUAGUCAAAAUAACUACAAUUAGAACCAUAAUUGCAAUUUCAGCAAUAAGAAAAUGGAACAUCUACCAACUAGAUGUCAACAAUGCUUUUUUUCAUGGAGAUCUUCAUGAAGAAGUAUACCUUAAACCACCACAAGGACUUCUUAAUGAAGGAGAUAAGAGGGUAUGCAAACUAAACAAAUCCCUAUAUGGCUUAAAACAAACAUCUAGGAAUUGGUUUGCUAAACUAAAGGGAGUUCUAAUCGAAAUGAAUUUUGUCCAAACACCCUCGGAUUACUCACUAUUUGUCAAAAACAAUAGUGGAAACAUAACAUACCUUUUGGUAUACGUUGAUGACAUUAUCAUCACAUGCAGCAAUGAAGCAGAAGUCUUCUUAAUCAAAAACAAUAUUGAAAAAAAUUUCAAAAUUAAAGAUCUAGGAAGACUAUCUUAUUUCUUAGGAAUAGAAGUCUCAUAUCCACCAGAAGGGAUACAUAUAUCCCAAAGAAAAUAUGCAUUAACCAUUUUAGAAGAAAGUGGUCUAAUAGAUGCAAAGCCAUCAAAAAUACCAAUAGAAAGGCAUGUAAGUUUGAGAAACAAAGAUGCCAAGGUAUUAUCAGAUCCAAGUUUUUAUAGAUCAUUAGUAGGUAAACUGAUAUAUUUGAAUAUCACUAGACCUGAUCUGAGCUUCCCUGUUCAUUGGUUGAGCCAAUUCAUGGGAAACCCAAAUGAAGUCCAUCUUCAGGUACUGUUUAAAAUAAUAAAAUAUCUUAAAAAUGCCCCUGGACAAGGCAUCUUAUACAAGAGUCAAAACCAGAUGUCUCUUCAUGGGUACUGUGACUCAGACUAGGCUUCAUGCCAAAUUAGUAGAAAGUCACUUUCAGGCUACUGUAUGUUUAUAGGAACAUCACUGAUUUCUUGGAAAUCCAAGAAACAAGAUACUGUUUCACUUUCAUCAUGUGAAGCAGAAUACAGAGCCAUCAGUAAAUCCCAGUGUGAAGUAAUAUGGCUACAUCAACUCUUUAAAGAUCUAAAGUUGAAUGUAAAGACUCCAACCUCAUUAUACUGUGACAACAAAUCGGCAAUAUACCUUGCCAAUAACCCAGUAUUUCAUGAGAGGAGCAAACAUAUAGAAAUAACAUGUCACUCCAUAAGAGAAAUGAUAGAUAAAGGAGUAAUAAUCUUAAAACAAGUUGGCACAAAGUACCAACUUGCAGAUAUUUUUACCAAACCACUUGGAGAGCAUGAGAUUUCAACAUUCUCUAUCAAGCUAGGAAUUCAUAACAUGUAUUCCAAGACUUGAGGGGGAGUAUAAGAUCAUAUUGAAACUUAGGGUAAAAACAGCAAUUAUGAUCACGUCACACAAUCCUAGGACGUAAAUAUAAUAAAAGUAAUUUAGAGGUUAUAACAAAACAGAAUAAAUUGUUUUGUUUAUAAUCUAUAAGGUCCUAGUUGCAAAUCACCAAUAAGGACCUAAAACGAAGGAAUAUUCAUUCAUAAACGUUUUACUAAUUUUGCAUCAAGUUUUACUAUGCAGACAAUUUGACCGUGACUCAUGAAAAGAAUAUCAAAUAAUCAAGAGGGUCAAAGUGCAAUAGUUUCAAGAAAGUCCUGAUGGGCCAAUUAACAUACAGACCGGACAUAGAUAGUUUGGUUGAAGUUAGUUAUAAUGUUGUUAAUAUUUUUUGUAAUAAAUAAAACGUGUAGUUAACACUUUUAAUCAUUCAAUUUAGCUUUGGUUAAUACAUUCAAAAUUAACUAAAGUCAUUUCUGACUAAACCACUCGAUUAUCCUUUUUUUUCACUUAGCGGUAGUUAUUUCCGUUAAUCCGCGAUUACAGCGUGGACGGAAAACCCUAGCCACGAUUCCGACGAGUGCAGCCUCCGGCGACGCCUCCAAAGUUAGGCGUUCUCUUCCAUUGCUU